AGCGAACGCUGGCGGCAGGCUUAACACAUGCAAGUCGAGCGGGCAUCCUUGUGGUGUCAGCGGCAGACGGGUGAGUAACGCGUGGGAACGUGCCCUUCGGUUCGGAAUAACUCAGGGAAACUUGAGCUAAUACCGGAUACGUGCGAGAGCAGAAAGGUUUAUCUGCCGAAGGAUCGGCCCGCGUCUGAUUAGCUAGUUGGUGAGGUUAUGGCUCACCAAGGCGACGAUCAGUAGCUGGUCUGAGAGGAUGACCAGCCACACUGGGACUGAGACACGGCCCGGCCUCCUAGGGGGGGAGGCGGGGGGGAAUAUUGGAGAGGGGGGCAACCCUGGACCGCGCCAGGCCGGGGGAGUAUUGCGGCCGUGGGGGUUGAAAACCUUUUUUUUGGGGGAGGAUAAGGAGGGAACGGGAGAAAUAACCCCCGGCAAACUUCGUG
rnacentral:rRNA from 1 species